rnacentral:rRNA from 1 species
UACGUAGGGGGCAAGCGUUGUCCGGAAUCAUUGGGCGUAAAGAGCGCGUAGGCGGCCCUGUAAGUCCGCUGUGAAAGUCAAGGGCUCAACCCUUGAAUGCCGGUGGAUACUGCAGGGCUAGAGUCCGGAAGAGGCGAGUGGAAUUCCUGGUGUAGCGGUGAAAUGCGCAGAUAUCAGGAGGAACACCGAUGGCGAAGGCAGCUCGCUGGGACGGUACUGACGCUGAGGAGCGAAAGCGUGGGGAGCGAACAGG